rnacentral:rRNA from 1 species
GAAUUGACGGGGGCCCGCACAAGCGGUGGAGCAUGUGGUUUAAUUCGAUGCAACGCGAAGAACCUUACCUGGUCUUGACAUCCACGGAAGUUUUCAGAGAUGAGAAUGUGCCUUCGGGAACCGUGAGACAGGUGCUGCAUGGCUGUCGUCAGCUCGUGUUGUGAAAUGUUGGGUUAAGUCCCGCAACGAGCGCAACCCUUAUCCUUUGUUGCCAGCGGUCCGGCCGGGAACUCAAAGGAGACUGCCAGUGAUAAACUGGAGGAAGGUGGGGAUGACGUCAAGUCAUCAUGGCCCUUACGACCAGGGCUACACACGUGCUACAAUGGCGCAUACAAAGAGAAGCGACCUCGCGAGAGCAAGCGGACCUCAUAAAGUGCGUCGUAGUCCGGAUUGGAGUCUGCAACUCGACUCCAUGAAGUCGGAAUCGCUAGUAAUCGUGGAUCAGAAUGCCACGGUGAAUACGUUCCCGGGCCUUGUACACACCGCCCGUCACACCAUGGGAGUGGGUUGCAAAAGAAGUAGGUAGCUUAACCUUCG